rnacentral:tRNA from 1 species
GCCCCAGUAGCUCAGUGGAUAGAGCGACCGCCUCCUAAGCGGUAGGCCGUAGGUCCGAUUCCUACCUGGGGCACAA